UGUUCAAAAAUCGGAAACUAGAGCUCAAAAUUUGAAAAAAAUUGUUAAAAACAGGGGGGUUGGCCUAUACCAUGGCUUCUAGAGAAAAAUAAUGAGGGGUGUCACGGGGUAUGACUAUAUAGGUCUUGUAGAGGAGAAACAGGCGCAUCUCUUGCGCAAGGUAUCGAAGGGCGCUAUGUUCAAAAAUCUGAAACUGGAGCUCAAAAUUUGAAAAAAAAUGUUAAAAACAGGGGAGUUGGCCUAUUCCAUGGUUUCUAGAGAAAAAUUAUGAGGGGUGUCACGGGGUAUAUCUAUAUAGGUCUUGUAGAGGAGAAACAGGCGCAUCUUUUGCGCAAGGUAUCGAAGGGUGCUAUGUUCAAAAAUCUGAAACUAGAGCUCAAAAUUUGAAAAAAAAUGUUUAAAACAGGGGAGUUGGCCUAUUCCAUGGUUUCUAGAGAAAAAUAAUGAGGGGUGUCACGGGGUAUGUCUAUAUAGGUCUUGUAGAGGAGGAACAGGCGCAUCUUUUGCGCAAGGUAUCGAAGGGCGCUAUGUUGAAAAAUCUGAAACUAGAGCUCAAAAUUUGAAAAAAAAGUGUUAAAAACAGGGGGGUUGGCCUAUUCCAUGGCUUCUACAGAAACAUAAUGAGGAGUGUCACGGGGUAUGACUUUAUAGGUCUUGUAGAGGAGAAACAGGCGCAUCUUUUGCGCAAGGUAUCGAAGGGCGCUAUGUUCAAAAAUCUGAAACUAGAGCUCAAAAUUUGAAAAAAAAAUUGUUUAAAACAGGGGGUUGUCCUAUUCCAUGGCUUCUAGGGAAAAAUAAUGAGGGGUGUCACGGGGUAUGACUAUAUAGGUCUUGUAGAAGAGAAACAGGCGCAUCUUUUGCGCAAGGUAUCGAAGGGCGCUAUGCUCAAAAAUCUGAAACUAGAGCUCAAAAUUUGAAAAAAAAUGUUAAAAACAGGGGGGUUGGCCUAUUCCAUGGUUUCUACAGAAAAAUAAUGAGGGGUGUCACGGGGUAUGACAAUAUAGGUCUUGUAGAAGAGAAACAGGCGCAUAUCUUGCACAAGGUUUCGAAGGGCGCUAUGUUCAAAAAUCUGAAACUAGAGCUCAAAAUUUGAAAAAAAUUGUUAAAAACAGGGGGGUUGGCCUAUUCCAUGGCUUCUACAGAAAAAUAAUAAGGGGUGUCACGGGGUAUGACUAUAUAGGUCUUGUAGAAGAGAAACAGGCGCAUCUUUUGCGCAAGGUAUCGGAGGGCGCUAUGCUCAAAAAUCUGAAACUAGAGCUCAAAAUUUGAAAAAAAAUGUUAAAAACAGGGGGGUUGGCCUAUUCCAUGGUUUCUACAGAAAAAUAAUGAGGGGUGUCACGGGGUAUGACAAUAUAGGUCUUGUAGAAGAGAAACAGGCGCAUAUCUUGCACAAGGUUUCGAAGGGCGCUAUGUUCAAAAAUCUGAAACUAGAGCUCAAAAUUUGAAAAAAAUUGUUAAAAACAGGGGGGUUGGCCUAUUCCAUGGCUUCUACAGAAAAAUAAUGAGGGGUGUCACGGGGUAUGACUAUAUAGGUCUUCUAGAGGAGAAACAGGCGCAUCUUUUGCGCAAGGUAUGGAAGGGCGCUAUGUUCAAAAAUCUGAAACUAGAGCUCAAAAUUUGAAAAAAAAAAUUGUUAAAAACAGGGGGUUGUCCUAUUCCAUGGCUUCUAGGGAAAAAUAAUGAGGGGUGUCACGGGGUAUGACUAUAUAGGUCUUGUAGAAGAGAAACAGGUGCAUCUUUUGCGCAAGGUAUCGAAGGGCGCUAUGCUCAAAAAUCUGAAACUAGAGCUCAAAAUUUGAAAAAAAAUGUUAAAAACAGGGGGGUUGGCCUAUUCCAUGGUUUCUACAGAAAAAUAAUGAGGGGUGUCACGGGGUAUGACAAUAUAGGUCUUGUAGAGGAGAAACAUGCGCAUCUUUUGCGCAAGGUAUCGAAGGGCGCUAUGUUCAAAAAUCUGAAAC